rnacentral:rRNA from 1 species
AUUGAACGCUGGCGGCAGGCUUAACACAUGAAAGUCGAGCGAGCGGCGGACGGGUGAGUAAUGUCUGGGAAACUGCCUGAUGGAGGGGGAUAACUACUGGAAACGGUAGCUAAUACCGCCUACCAUAAGAUGUGCCCAGAUGGGAUUAGCUAGUAGGUGGGUGAAUGGCUCACCUAGGCGACGAUCCCUAGCUGGUCUGAGAGGAUGACCAUCAAUACUGUAACUGAGACACGGUCCAGAUGCCUACGGGAUGCAGCAGUGGGGAAUAUUGCACAAUGGGCGCAAGCCUGAUGCAGCCAUGACGCGUGUGUGAAGAAGGCCUUCGGGUUGUAAAGCACUUUCAGCGAGGAGGCGUUACUCGCAGAAGAAGCACCGGCUAACUCCGUGCCAGCCGCCGCGGUAAUUC